rnacentral:rRNA from 1 species
UACGUAGGGUGCAAGCGUUAAUCGGAAUUACUGGGCGUAAAGCGUGCGCAGGCGGUUUUGUAAGUCUGACGUGAAAUCCCCGGGCUUAACCUGGGAAUUGCGUUGGAGACUGCAAGGCUGGAGUCUGGCAGAGGGGGGGUAGAAUUCCACGUGUAGCAGUGAAAUGCGUAGAGAUGUGGAGGAACACCGAUGGCGAAGGCAGCCCCCUGGGUCAAGAUUGACGCUCAUG